rnacentral:rRNA from 1 species
CGUAUAUUUAAGUUGCUGCAGUUAAAAAGCUCGUAGUUGGAUUUCGGGUGGGACCUGCCGGUCCGCCGUUUCGGUGUGCACUGGCAGGGCUCACCUUGUUGCCGGGGACGGGCUCCUGGGCUUCACUGUCCGGGACUCGGAGUCGGCGCUGUUACUUUGAGUAAAUUAGAGUGUUCAAAGCAGGCCUACGCUCUGAAUACAUUAGCAUGGAAUAACACGAUAGGACUCUGGCCUAUCCUGUUGGUCUGUAGGACCGGAGUAAUGAUUAAGAGGGACAGUCGGGGG